UACGUAGGGUGCAAGCGUUAAUCGGAAUUACUGGGCGUAAAGCGUGCGCAGGCGGUUUCGUAAGUCUGUCGUGAAAUCCCCGGGCUCAACCUGGGAAUGGCGAUGGAGACUGCGAGGCUAGAGUUUGGCAGAGGGGGGUAGAAUUCCACGUGUAGCAGUGAAAUGCGUAGAGAUGUGGAGGAACACCGAUGGCGAAGGCAGCCCCCCUGGGUCAAAACUGACGCUCAUGCACGAAAGCGUGGGGAGCAAACAGG
rnacentral:rRNA from 1 species